UCAGGCAUAGGGGUGGAAACAGUUGCCCUGGUAGAUUUCUUAUGCUGGGGUGCACUGUAAAGGAUUUAAAGAUCAUAGCCUUGCAGCCAGUUUACUGUGUCUGUGUGAAUUGUCUCCUUUGUGUUGACAUUUUUGGUCUGGUACUGAAAUUCUGGGAAUCUUACCAGUACGGACAAGCAUAGAGCCAAAUUGCAAAUGCUUCUCUGUGAGAUGUAGAGAAAAUGCAUUUGUGAAAGCAGAUAAGCUCAACUCCCCCCCCCCCUGCUGUGCAAUAAACCUUUGGGAGAGCUCAUAUCAUAUUUUGCUGAGAAACUAUUUCAGUACAGCAAAUGAUCUAAUGUAGCUUGAAGUAUUUAUAAAUGAGCAUAAAUUAGAUUAUAUUGUACCAUCAAAAAUACUUUGCUUUCCUCACACAUUAGGCCCAGGAUGUAUUUAUUUAUAUCUAGAUAUAUAUUAGCACUGUUAAUGGCAUAACCUCAGGCAGGUUGGUGCAAAAUUUAAUUAGUGCUAAACUGCCUGACACAGCUGAAGCAUAAAAUUGGCUAUUUUCAGGACUUUCCCAUUUUAAAGCCUAUUUAUUGUCUGUUUACAGCUUCUGUUUCUUCUGAUUGGCAGAAUCAUAAUCAGGUGAUCCAAUUCAAAAGAGUCCUGACCUGCCGUGUCUGGCUUUGGAUUCUAUUGAAAGCCUGUUUGAGCUCAGAAUCAGAGUUGCGAAGACACCAUUCAAGAGUUGAUGGCACAAUUCACUCCUGUGACUUCUGCAACAAAUGAAAAUGACACUCAGUAUACUUUUAUGGUAACCUUCCAAGAAAAUAUCUAGCAACAGCAUUCCGGUCAACGGAUGAUCUGCAGGUAUGAAUUAGGGAUUAGAAAGAAUACCAUUUUGCUUUCUCUUGGUUUCUCAUUUUUCCACAUUUCCACAUCAGUUUGCAACUAAAAAAUAAACUCCCAAUGAGUGGCCAGUCAAAUGUCCAUCGGAAGUCUUCAGGUAGGACCUGAGCACUCUUGCCAUUUGGGAUUCCCAAGAACUGGUGUUCAGAGGUAGUUACAGCUUUCUACAAUUUUAUUAACUAUUUUUAUUUAUUAUUACAGGUAUAUUCCACAUUUCUUCAAAGGAGCUCCAGGUGGUGUAUAUGGCUCUUUCCCUCCUCUGAGGGAUAAUCACUGGCCAAAGGUCACCCACUGACCUUCAUGUCUGUGGAAGGAAUUUGAACUUGGAUCUCCCAGGUCCUAGACCAGCACUCAUUGAUAGCAUUAUCCAUGAAUUUAUCUAAUCCUCUGUUAAUGUCAUCCAAGUUGGUGGCCAACUUCAGCAUUUACCUAAGCUGAAAAUUAUUUUCACAUAUUGCAUUUUCACUUUAGGAGAGUUAUGGGGUGAACUCUAGACCAAGAUCUCACCCAUCCAUCCAGCAACUGGUUACCAGCAGCAGCCAGCCUCUGAAGCUUAUCCCAUUGCUUGUCUCCAGGAGAGGGUACAUCAGGCCAGAACUUUGUUGAAGAAGUCCAAAGUCUUUUGCAGCAAAAUGAGCAGUAGGACCCAAAUGCUUCAAGACUGGCUUACCACAUUUUGAAGAGCAGUAAUACACAUUAUCAUGUAAAGAAGGCUUAUGUGAUAUCAUUAAGUCCAAAGGAAAAGGGGUAUAAGAAAAUUAAUUACACAAAUACACCACUGGGCAUAGUUUCCUUUUCACAAACAAUAUAUGAGGUGCUAAACCUGUUCCUGAAGAUGGUUAUAUGCUUUGCUAUUUAAAAAAAAAAGUGGUGUCCCCCAGGUGUUGCUGGACAGCAGGUGUCAACAGUCACAGCCAACAUAGCCAAAAGUCAGAAAUGAUGGGGAUUGUAGUUCAACAACCCCUGGAGGGCAAUGCAUUGUCUACCAUUUCCAUAAGAGUAUCAUUGUCCUCACACACAGUGCCAAUAAAUAGUAAGUCUUCUUGAUACUGGAAAGCCACUGGAAGUGGUGAAGGCUCAUAAAUAGAAAUAAACCCGUGAAUUACUGAUCCAGGCACAGCUCUUACUUGGAAGGAUGGAAAUGUGCAGCAGUGACUCACACAGAGACGGGUGAUGAGACUCCUCUGAGGACAGAAAACUCUACAGCUUUCUACAUCAGAAAGUGACUAAUCACACCCAGUGAAGAACAUUGCCACCCCAGUGGAAGUUGACUGGCAGGAAAUGUGGACAACAAGAUGAAUCACACCGAAGCAUAAUGACAAUAUUCACUUUGGGUAUGAACACAGGAAGCUGUCUUGUGUUGAGUCAGAUUAUCACUCCAUCUAGCUCAGUAUGGUCAACAGUGGAUAGCAAUGGAUUGCAAGGGUUUCAGACAAGGAUGUUUUAUCCACACUAGCUAGAAAUGUUGGGGCCUGCCCAUGAGUUUGGAGUUCGCAUCAUCAUACAAUCCUUUCUUAACUUAAAUUCCUUCACCCCUAGCUAAUUAUGCUGAUAUAAGACCAGCCACUGCUUCUUUUCUGUUCUGCUGUAGCUCACUCCUGAUGUGGUUUAUGUUACUUCUCAUAAUUCCUUCAUUUGGCAUAAAUUAUUUUGGGGCUUUGCUUGCCCAAUCACUUAUGAUUCCUUGCCCCCCUCCCAAACUCAACUCUCCCUAGACCAACUUUAUUUCCUUUCUCUGUCUUUGCACUCUCCUGCCACUGUCUCAUGUUAUCUUGCUCCCUUUCCUUGCUUAAUCACCCAGGGACCUUUAGAAGUUGCUCCUCUGCCUUCAUCAAGCUGCUGGUCAAGCAUCUCCACUUUUUCUGCAGUUUGGCUCUGCCCCAGCAACCCAAGUCCUAAACAGGGAUGGAAGGACCUGUUAAUUUCAGUUCUCAAUGUUUUUCGUUUUUGUCAGUCUUAAAUCCAGCUCUUCACAUCUCAUAGCAUUUUGAAUUUUAAAAAAUCUGCAAGAGAAUUUUAGUGUGAAUGUCUUUUAAUAAACACAUUUUUAAAUACA